rnacentral:misc_RNA from 1 species
UCCGAUUUGUCACCGGUCAGGAACAUGUCAAGCCCAGGUAAGGUUCUUCGCGUUGCGUCGAAUUAAACCACAUGCUCCGCUGCUUGUGCGGGCCCCCGUCAAUUCCUUUGAGUUUUAGCCUUGCGGCCGUACUCCCCAGGCGGGUCACUUAAUGCGUUAGCUUCGGCACAGGAGGAGUCGACACCUCCCACACCUAGUGACCAUCGUUUACGGCGUGGACUAC